CCGGCGCGGCAGGACGUCAACGACAGCGCAACAAUUAUUAGAUAUGAAGACAAGUUUUCAAAGGACCAGACACAUUUUCGAAUGGACUGACUGUUGGCAGCGGAAAUUCUUGAGCCGUGCGAUACUAUGAAUCGUCUUCAGACACUAAAAUAUAGUACGCUAUCAGAAAGCUGACAGGAAAAUGGAGAGAGAGAGAAGGAGAGGAUGAAGAGAAGUGGUGCGAAGGAAUGGAAGAAGCCCCUGAGCAGAACCAGAAGGAGGGAGGGAGAACUGCUGUGACAUGAAAGAGUGAUAGAGGCCCAGACAUGGAGGAGACACUACACACACAUCCUGUACACCGCCCACGAUCACAGAUCACAGAAGAACUCAAGACCUUUCAGCUGUGGGGCCAGUAGACCUACGCGUUCCUGGAGCCAGAGGACAAGACCAGGGGCAUGAAGAGACCGUCUGCAUUCAUUUCCAAGCCUUCAGUCUCUCUACACACUUUUUCACACGGGCUGCAAUUAUGAAACGGUUUCAGUCAUUGAAGUAGAAUGUAACAACAGCAAAAAAGGAAUUGAGUGUCUUCUGUGAAACAUUAAAUAACCAUCCUCUGAUAAACCGGUAAAGAGAGCUGUCUGAAA